rnacentral:lncRNA from 1 species
UCAGAAAUGCAUAAUUGAUUCUAAAGAGAAACAAACCCUGGAUUUUUGCUUCUUAGUUUUCUUUUGGAUUACUUAAGGGCCAACAUUAUACUGAAUGGGCCAGAGCUGGAAGCAUACCCCUUGAGAGCUGAAACAAGACAAGGAUGUCCUCUUUCACCACUCCUAUUCUGCACAGUGCUGGAAGUCCUAGCCAGAGCAACCGGGCCAAAGAAAGAAAUAAAAUGCAUCCAAGUAGGAAAAUAAGUCAAAUUAUCUCUCUUCACUGACAAUAUGAUUCUAUACCUAGAAAACGCUAAAGACUCCACCAAAAGGUGCCCGUCAAUGGUGGAAUGGUUAAAGAAAACUUGAAAUAUAUACACCAUGGAAAGCUGGGUGCAGUGGCUCACGCCUAUAAUCCCAACACUUCGGGAGGCUGAGAUGGGCGGAUCACGAGGUCAGGAGUUCGAGACCAGCCUAACCAAUAUGGUGAAACCCUGUCUCUACUAAAAAUACAAAAAUUAGCCAGGUGUGGUGGCAUGCGCCCGUAGUCCCAGCUACUUGGGAGGCUGAGGCAGGGAAAAUUGCUUGAACCAGGAGGUGGAGGUUGCAGUGAGCCGAGAUCGUGUCACUGCACUCCAGCCUGGGCGACAGAGCAAGACUCCGUCUCAAAAAAAAAAAAAACAAAAAAAACCACAUACACACAGAACACCAUGGAAUACUAUGCAGCCAUAAAAGGAAUGAAACCAUGUUCUUUGUAGCAACUUGCAUGCAGCUGGAGGCCAUUAUCCUAAGCAAAUUAAUGCAGAAACAGAAAACCACAUACCACAUAUUCUCACUUACAAGCGGGAGCUAAACAUUGGUUACACAUGGACACAAAGAUGAGAUAAUAGAUGCUGGGGACUAUGAGAGAGGAGGGAGUAAAAAAACUACCUAUUGGGUACUAUGCUCACUUCUUGGGUGACAGGUUCAAUAGCACCCCAAACCUUUCGCAUCACACAAUAUACCCAUGUAACAAACCUGCACAUGUACCCCCUAAAUCUAAAAUAAAAGUUGAAAUUUUUAAAAAUAAAAAAAAUAAAACUAUUGUAUUAGUCUGUUCUCACACUGCUAUGGAGAACUACCUGAGACUGGGUAAUUUAUAAAGAAAAGAGGUUUAAUUGGCUCCUGGUUCUGCAGGCUGUACAGGAAGCAUGGCUGAGGAGGCCUCAGGAAACUUACAACCGUGGCGGAGGGUGAAGAGGAAGGAGGCAUGUCUUACAUGGCCAGAGCAGAGGAAGAGAGAGCAAAGCGGGAAGUGCUACACACUUUUAAACAACCAGAUCUCGGCUAGGCGCGGUGGCUCACGCCUGUAAUCCCAGCACUCUGGGAGGUCAAGGCAGGGGGAUCACGAGGUCAGGAGUUCAAGACCAG